rnacentral:rRNA from 1 species
GUUGAACGCUGGCGGAAUGCUUUACACAUGCAAGUCGAACGGCAACACGGACUUCGGUCUGGUGGCGAGUGGCGAACGGGUGAGUAAUACAUCGGAACGUGCCCAGUCGUGGGGGAUAACGUAGCGAAAGCUACGCUAAUACCGCAUACGAUCUAAGGAUGAAAGCGGGGGAUCGCAAGACCUCGCGCGAUUGGAGCGGCCGAUGGCAGAUUAGGUAGUUGGUAGGGUAAAGGCCUACCAAGCCGACGAUCUGUAGCUGGUCUGGGAGGAUGAGCAGCCACACUGGGACUGAGACACGGCCCAGACUCCUACGGGAGGCAGCAGUGGGGAAUUUUGGACAAUGGGCGCAAGCCUGAUCCAGCCAUUCCGCGUGCAGGAUGAAGGCCUUCGGGUUGUAAACUGCUUUUGUACAGAACGAAAAGGCUCUGGUUAAUACCCGGGGCUCAUGACGGUACUGUAAGAAUAAGCACCGGCUAACUACGUGCCAGCCGCCGCGGUAA